AGAAUCAACGCUGGCGGCGUGCCUAACACAUGCAAGUCGAACGAGAAAGUGGAGCAAUCCAUGAGUAAAGUGGCGCACGGGUGAGUAACACGUGACUAACCUACCUUUUAGUGGGGGAUAACCUAGGGAAACCUGGGCUAAUACCGCAUAACACUUACGAGUCAAAGCAGCAAUGCGCUGAAAGAGGGGGUCGCGGCCGACUAGCUAGUUGGCGGGGUAAUGGCCCACCAAGGCAGUGAUCGGUAUCCGGCCUGAGAGGGCGCACGGACACACUGGAACUGAAACACGGUCCAGACUCCUACGGGAGGCAGCAGUGGGGAAUUUUGCGCAAUGGGGGAACCCUGACGCAGCAACGCCGCGUGGAGGAUGAAGUCCCUUGGGACGUAAACUCCUUUCGAUCGGGACGAUAAUGACGGUACCGGAAGAAGGAAGCCCGGCUAACUUCGCGCCAGCAGCCGC
rnacentral:rRNA from 1 species